AGAGUGAUAGCUAGUAUUCAAUGGAUCAAGUGACUAUGCGAUUAAUCAGAGAAGGCAGGAUGUAGGGGGAACUACGCUGAGAGCGGGGUUUGAGAGACAGCCCCAGACGGAGUUUCUGUACUAGGAGAUAGGAGCGAUCUGCUGGGAGAGGGCUGACUUCGACGGAUACAACCUGUUGGAUGGAUGGGACCAAGGACCUACUCCCAGCCUCCGAGCUGAUGCAGAAAGGUUGGAUGCUUCAUGGUGGAAGGAAGGAGGAUAUCAGGAAGGAUGGAGUAUACUCACAUACGGGAAGAUGAUAUCAGUGACUCAGCCUUUUAUUGGACAAUACGAUGUCUAUGCAUUCACUUCUCACUCUGACAGGUAGUUGUCACCUGCAGUCAAAGAUACUACUGUCCACUGAUGAGGUGA